rnacentral:lncRNA from 1 species
GACAUUUGGAACGUCAUCGAAGCGCUGCGGGAAAACGCUUUGAACAACCUGGACCCAAACAUAGAGCUCAACGUGGCCCGCCUGGAGGCCGUGCUCUCCACUAUGUUCUACCAGCUCAACAAGAGGAUGCCAAGCACUCAUCAAAUCCACGUGGAGCAGUCCAUCAGCCUCCUGCUGAACUUCCUGCUCGCAGCCUUUGACCCGUGAGCCCCCUGUGACUGUCCAUUACUCUCUCUGUGACUGGGUUCUGUUUUCUUUUAUACUUUUCUUAAUUUUCUUGAACAAUUUCUUGGACUUAUUUUUUUUCUUUAUCGGAUGUUAUGUUCAUAAAAGAAACUUUAAAGGCU